rnacentral:rRNA from 1 species
UACGGAGGGCGCGAGCGUUGUCCGAAGUUACUGGGCGUAAAGGGCGCGUAGGCGGCCACCGCAAGUCGACUGUGAAAUCUCCGGGCUUAACCCGGAAAGGUCAGCCGAUACUGCGGGGCUAGAGUGCAGAAGGGGCAACUGGAAUUCUCGGUGUAGCGGUGAAAUGCGUAGAUAUCGAGAGGAACACCUGCGGCGAAGGCGGGUUGCUGGGCUGACACUGACGCUGAGGCGCGAAAGCUAGGGGAGCGAACGGG